rnacentral:rRNA from 1 species
CCUACGGGAGACAGCAGUGAGGAAUAUUGGUCAAUGGCCGGAAGGCUGAACCAGCCAUGCCGCGUGAAGGUCAGUGCCCUAUGGGCGUUAAACUUCUUUUGUGCGGGAGCAAUAAUGGUCACGUGUGGCCAGACGAGAGUACCGUACGAAUAAGCAUCGGCUAACUCCGUGCCAGCAGCCGCGGUAAUACGGGGGAUGCAAGCGUUAUCCGGAUUUAUUGGGGUUAAAGGGUGCGUAGGCUGUGAGGUAAGUCAGCGGUGAAAUGCCCCCGCUCAACGGGGUGAAGUGCCAUUGAUACUGCCUUGCUGGAAUGCGGAUGCCGUGGGAGGAAUGUGUGGUGUAGCGGUGAAAUGCAUAGAUAUCACACAGAACACCGAUUGCGAAGGCAUCUCACGAAUCCGCGAUUGACGCUGAUGCACGAAAGCGUGGGUAUCAAACAGGAUUAGAUACCCCUGUAGUC